ensembl:lncRNA
CCGACAAGCACCGCAGCUGCUGCUCCGCAAAGACGAUGGAGGAGCCGAUGCGAGAAACGAGACUGACGGCGAACGCUGCUGCUUCAGGAACAGUCGGGCAGCGGAAGUUACAGCUCAGGUGCUUGUCGGCCAUCUUGGACGCGUCAUCAGUGACGCCCGUCAACCUGAGCUAAAUAGUGACGUCAUUACAGCGCCAUGGCCCAUCUCGGAAGUAUCUUUAUGUGUAGUGUAACCAUAUCACUUCCACCUGGUCAAUGGAUAUUUAAUAGUUUGAUGGAAGAUUUAUUCAAUCCUCCAUCACAUUAUUAAAGAGCAUCAAUUAUAACAUGUCACAUGAUAUGAUUUUAUUGGGAA